rnacentral:rRNA from 1 species
AAUAGAUACCCGGGUAGUCCACGCCGUAAACGACUGGAUACUAGCUGUUUGACCGCAAGGUUGAGUGGCUAAGCGAAAGUGAUAAGUAUCCCACCUGGGGAAGUACGAACGCAAGUUUGAAACUCAAAGGAAUUGACGGGGGGCCCGCACAAGCGGUGGAGCAUGUGGUUCAAUUCGAUGAUACGCGAGGAACCUUACCAGGGCUUAAAUGUAGUUUGACGUAUUUGGAAACAGAUAUUUCUUCGGACAAAUUACAAGGUGCUGCAUGGUUGUCGUCAGCUCGUGCCGUGAGGUGUCAGGUUAAGUCCUAUAACGAGCGCAACCCCUGUUGUUAGUUGCCAUCGAGUCAUGUCGGGAACUCUAACAAGACUGCCAGUGUAAACUGCGAGGAAGGUGGGGAUGACGUCAAAUCAUCACGGCCCUUACGUCCUGGGCCACACACGUGCUACAAUGGACGGUACAGAGAGCAGCCACUUAGCAAUAAGGAGCGAAUCUAUAAAACCGUUCUCAGUUCGGAUCGGAGUCUGCAACUCGACUCC